rnacentral:misc_RNA from 1 species
GUGAAUCAUCGAAUCUUUGAACGCACAUUGCGCCCAUUAGUAUUCUAGUGGGCAUGCCUGUUCGAGCGUCAUUAAACACCCUUAAGCCCUAGGCUUAGUGUUGGGAACCUACGCCGCGGCCGGGGCCUCUUUACGGGGCCCCUACCCGCUGUAGCUCCUCAAAGACAGCGGCGGAGUUGUGGUAUCCUCUGAGCUUAGUAAAUACAUUCUAGCUUUCGAGUUCGCCAUGGCGCCUGCCGUAAAACCCACCAUUCUUCUGAACGGUUGACCUCGGAUCAGGUAGGAAUACCCGCUGAACUUAAGCAUAUCAAUAAGCGGAGGA